rnacentral:lncRNA from 1 species
CUAUCCCCUCACUCAUCCACCACUUACCCACCCACCCACCCAUCCAUUACCAUCCACUUAUUCAUCCACCCAUCUAACCAUUGACUGACCCACCCAUCCAUCACCCGUCCAUCCUUCUAUCCACCCAUCCACUCACUCAUCCGUCCACCCACUCAUCGCUUUCCGUGCCUACACAUCCAGACACCCAUGCAAAGAAGACAAAAAAGGUCCAAGGGAAGAAGCCAAGCCACUGUCCAGUCAUUUUAUUUGUCCACGCUGUGACCCAGGCCCAGCGCCAACACUGGGGGGUCUGACACCGCCUAUAGACACCGAGGGGCUCCCAGUGUGUGGGGCCAGGGGACUCAGAAGUAUCUGAGUUUCAUCAGUGUCUGUGGGCACAGAGUUCAGAGGUGCCAUCUCUUCUUGGUGGCGCAACACAAUCGCCAAAGAUCCCAGCAACCUGCAUCACACCACAAGCUCUCACCCGCAAGCAGAUACCCCCGGGGACCAGAAGGUCAACAGGCACACAGCACCCUGAAUCUCCCAGGCACGUGGAGAGAGAGACACAGAAAGCCAUGUACAUGCGGGAGCACACAAGACGUAUACGUCGGCACCCGGAAGGUGCUCGGGGGGCGGUCACACGACAGUGCUGAGCAUCCCUAGUGUGUGUGUGUGUCUCUCUCUCACACACACACACAGGGAAAUGCAAACAGACACGCAUUAGAACACCCACAGCCUCCNNNNNNNNNNNNNNNNNNNNNNNNNNNNNNNNNNNNNNNNNNNNNNNNNNNNNNNNNNNNNNNNNNNNNNNNNNNNNNNNNNNNNNNNNNNNNNNNNNNACACACAGGGAAAUGCAAACAGACACGCAUUAGAACACCCACAGCCUCCUGGAGGAGAGACUUCCAGGUUGAGAGGCACUGGAUGUCGGCGGACCCAGGGCAGAGGCCUCAUCCACACCUUUCUGCACCCUGGGACUAUGCCACCCAGGAAGCGCUGCUGCUCGGGGGAGCCCCUUGCCCGGCUCUGCUGCCCCGUAACUGAGGACGCCCAGCAGUGGCAGGGCAUCCUGAGGAGGAGCGGGCUCCCUUGGCUGACUUCUGCCAGGCAGUUAUCACAUGUCCCUGUGACAGUCACAUGGGGCCCAGGACACAAGCCUGUGCUCCACACGGCUCCACUCGAGGCCACCACUCGGGGGCCCUGCUCAACAGGCCAGGGCCAGGGACCUGCCUCCUUCUCGGGGAAACUGAUGAUAGCACAGCCCAGGCGUCUGGGGCCGCUCCUGCCCACUUGGCCAACAGGGCUGGAGAACCCAGCCAUGCAAGUCAGGGUCUCCGUGGGGUCAGGCCCGGCUCCUCCUUACCCCAAAGGGAGUACCGGGAUUAAGAAGCAGCACAGGCCGUGGAAUGAUACAGGCAGACUCAAUAUAAAUAAAAUAUUCAUAUAAAAAUAGUCUCUUAGAAAAUAUUCUCUUAUCCAGUGGCUCACUUUCUAGAAGGUGGGAACUGCUGGGGGGGUUAGCAUUACCUUUCCCCUCUCUCUCUCUGUUCCAAACUGGACUUUUCUAAUGGGGAGGUUUGAGCUGGGGAGGACUACAGGCUGGGAACCGUGUUCUAGAAAACGUCUCCCAAUUCCAGACCAGCUUAAAUCUCUGGAGAAUUAGCAGCAAACAGCAAAAAAAAAAAAAUAUGUGUAUGUGUGUGUGUCUAUAUACGUAGAAAGGAUGUCUGCCCUUGCACUUGAGCAUCUGGUGCGGCAAGGGGUCCUCGCGAAAUCAGCUAGGAGAAAGGUCUGCCUGAAGAAUCACCACGCACAGUUCUCCGCUCCCUGUCCUGGCGGCAGAACAUCCCACAGGGAGAGCCAGCGGUCCACGUUGAUUGCAGAAAACGGAUCCCGACGAGGUGGAAGGGUUCUUGUUUAAUUAAAUAAAUUAAUAUUAUCUUUUUAAUAUCAGAAUAAAUUGUUAAAUAUUGCUAUUACUGUUGAGGCCCCCGGGGUCCAGUGUUUCAGGCUCUGCUCCGGCCGAGGGCGGCGUCUGGGUGCGGCGUGGAUGACGACUCGGGGUCCGGGAGGGGUCCCCCCCCCACCGGCAGGGCCCCCACCUCCACCAGCCCAGCAGACAAGACAGC